UUGAAUAUCAAACACGUUUGAUAUUUGAUAUCCAUGUGGUAUCCCUAUGAAUUUGCAACACCCUCGCAGCAUUCAUAGAACCUCUUCUACACGUCGACAAGAAGCAAUUCUUGUAUUUAUGCCAGCCCUUCUUCAGGCUGGCUUUUUUUAUG
rnacentral:ncRNA from 1 species